rnacentral:rRNA from 1 species
UACGUAGGGGGCUAGCGUUGUCCGGAGUUAUUGGGCGUAAAGAGCGUGUAGGCGGCCAGGUAGGUCUGCUGUGAAAACUCGAGGCUCAACCUCGAGACGUCGGCGGAAACCAUCUGGCUAGAGUCCGGAAGAGGAGAGUGGAAUUCCUGGUGUAGCAGUGAAAUGCGUAGAUAUCAGGAGGAAUACCGAUGGCGAAGGCAGGUCUCUGGGCUGACACUGACGCUCAUGCACGAAAGCGUGGGGAGCAAACAGG